AUUAAUCCUUGGUACAAUAAGCAUUUACACUACAUUGAAAAAUUAUAUCCUUGAAUAUUCUGUUUUUGCAAGUAUGCAUCUAGUUGCUGUUUAAACAUCUGCACAGAUUGUAAAAAAAAAACACUUCUUCAGGCAGAGAAUUCCAUAUCAUUAUUGUUAUUCCGGUAAAGAGCCCUUUCCUUUGCCUUAGACUAAAUCUUCUUUCUUCCAGUCUAAACGCAUGACAUUGUGUCCUAUGUAAAGUCCUGUUUGUGAAUAGAUUUCCACACAAUGGUUUGUAUUGGCUACGAAUAUAUUUGUAUAAUGUUAUCAUAUCCCCUCUGAGGCGACAUUUUUCUAAACUAAAGGUUUAAAUUUGUUAACCUUUCUUCAUAGAUAAAAUGUUCCAUUCCUUUUAUUAAUUUUGUAGUCCUCCUGUGCACUCUUUCUAGUGCCAUAAUAUCCUUCUUUAGAACAGAUACCAGCGAUUUAUAAAGAGGCAAAAUUAUAUUCUCAUUCCGAGAAUUAAUGCCCUUUUUCAUGUUUGACAUACCUUACUGGACUUAGUCACUGCUGAUUGACAUUGCACAUUGUUGCAUAGUUAGUUCUCUAUAACAAUUCCCAAGUCCUUCUCAUGUUUUUUUU